UGCCAGACUCCUACGGGAGGCAGCAGUGGGGAAUAUUGCACAAUGGGGGAAACCCUGAUGCAGCAACGCCGCGUGAGUGAAGAAGUAUUUCGGUAUGUAAAGCUCUAUCAGCAGGGAAGAAAAUGACGGUACCUGAGUAAGAAGCCCCGGCUAACUACGUGCCAGCAGCCGCGGUAAUACGUAGGGGGCAAGCGUUAUCCGGAUUUACUGGGUGUAAAGGGAGCGUAGACGGCGAUACAAGUCUGAAGUGAAAGCCCGGGGCUCAACCCCGGGACUGCUUUGGAAACUGUGUUGCUGGAGGGCUGGAGAGGCAAGCGGAAUUUCUAGUGUAGCGGUGAAAUGCGUAGAUAUUAGGAAGAACACCAGUGGCGAAGGCGGCUUGCUGGGCAGUAACUGACGUUGAGGCUCGAAAGCGUGGGGAGCAAACAGGAUUAGAUACCCGUGUACU
rnacentral:rRNA from 1 species